AUCCAGCUGACGAGUCCCAAAUAGGACGAAAGGACGUGCGUCCUGGAG
rfam:Schistosoma rodhaini strain Burundi genome assembly, scaffold: SROB_scaffold0012968